UACAGAGGGGGCAAGCGUUAUUCGGAAUUAUUGGGCGUAAAGGGCGCGUAGGCGGCUUUGCAAGUGACGGGUGAAAUCCCUCGGCUUAACCGAGGAACUGCCUGUCAAACUGCAUGGCUUGAGACCGGGAGAGGUGAGUGGAAUUCCCAGUGUAGCGGUGAAAUGCGUAGAUAUUGGGAGGAACACCAGUGGCGAAGGCGGCUCACUGGACCGGUACUGACGCUGAUGCGCGAAAGCGUGAGGAGCAAACAGG
rnacentral:rRNA from 1 species